CUUAAACAUGCAAGUCGAGGGGCAGCAUGGUCUUAGCUUGCUAAGGCCGAUGGCGACCGGCGCACGGGUGAGUAACACGUAUCCAACCUGCCGUCUACUCUUGGACAGCCUUCUGAAAGGAAGAUUAAUACAAGAUGGCAUCAUGAGUCCGCAUGUUCACAUGAUUAAAGGUAUUCCGGUAGACGAUGGGGAUGCGUUCCAUUAGAUAGUAGGCGGGGUAACGGCCCACCUAGUCUUCGAUGGAUAGGGGUUCUGAGAGGAAGGUCCCCCACAUUGGAACUGAGACACGGUCCAAACUCCUACGGGAGGCAGCAGUGAGGAAUAUUGGUCAAUGGGCGAGAGCCUGAACCAGCCAAGUAGCGUGAAGGAUGACUGCCCUAUGGGUUGUAAACUUCUUUUAUAAAGGAAUAAAGUCGGGUAUGGAUACCCGUUUGCAUGUACUUUAUGAAUAAGGAUCGGCUAACUCCGUGCCAGCAGCCGCGGUAAUACGGAGGAUCCGAGCGUUAUCCGGAUUUAUUGGGUUUAAAGGGAGCGUAGAUGGAUGUUUAAGUCAGUUGUGAAAGUUUGCGGCUCAACCGUAAAAUUGCAGUUGAUACUGGAUAUCUUGAGUGCAGUUGAGGCAGGCGGAAUUCGUGGUGUAGCGGUGAAAUGCUUAGAUAUCACGAAGAACUCCGAUUGCGAAGGCAGCCUGCUAAGCUGCAACUGACAUUGAGGCUCGAAAGUGUGGGUAUCAAACAGGAUUAGAUACCCUGGUAGUCCACACGGUAAACGAUGAAUACUCGCUGUUUGCGAUAUACUGCAAGCGGCCAAGCGAAAGCGUUAAGUAUUCCACCUGGGGAGUACGCCGGCAACGGUGAAACUCAAAGGAAUUGACGGGGGCCCGCACAAGCGGAGGAACAUGUGGUUUAAUUCGAUGAUACGCGAGGAACCUUACCCGGGCUUAAAUUGCAGAUGAAUUACGGUGAAAGCCGUAAGCCGCAAGGCAUCUGUGAAGGUGCUGCAUGGUUGUCGUCAGCUCGUGCCGUGAGGUGUCGGCUUAAGUGCCAUAACGAGCGCAACCCUUGUUGUCAGUUACUAACAGGUUCCGCUGAGGACUCUGACAAGACUGCCAUCGUAAGAUGUGAGGAAGGUGGGGAUGACGUCAAAUCAGCACGGCCCUUACGUCCGGGGCUACACACGUGUUACAAUGGGGGGUACAGAGGGCCGCUACCACGCGAGUGGAUGCCAAUCCCCAAAACCUCUCUCAGUUCGGACUGGAGUCUGCAACCCGACUCCACGAAGCUGGAUUCGCUAGUAAUCGCGCAUCAGCCACGGCGCGGUGAAUACGUUCCCGGGCCUUGUACACACCGCCCGUCAAGCCAUGGGAGCCGG
rnacentral:rRNA from 1 species